rnacentral:rRNA from 1 species
CCUGGAGACUCCUACGGGAGGCAGCAGUGGGGAAUUUUGGACAAUGGGCGAAAGCCUGAUCCAGCAAUGCCGCGUGUGUGAUGAAGGCCUUCGGGUUGUAAAGCACUUUUGGCGGGAACGAAAAGGACUGUGCCAAUACCACGGUUCGAUGACGGUACCCGCAGAAUAAGCACCGGCUAACUACGUGCCAGCAGCCGCGGUAAUACGUAGGGUGCAAGCGUUAAUCGGAAUUACUGGGCGUAAAGAGUGCGCAGGCGGUUUUGCAAGACCGAUGUGAAAUCCCCGGGCUUAACCUGGGAACUGCAUUGGUGACUGCAAGGCUAGAGUGUGUCAGAGGGAGGUGGAAUUCCGCAUGUAGCAGUGAAAUGCGUAGAUAUGCGGAGGAACACCGAUGGCGAAGGCAGCCUCCUGGGAUAACACUGACGCUCAUGCACGAAAGCGUGGGGAGCAAACAGGAUUAGAUACCCUUGUAGUCCUGAGU